rnacentral:rRNA from 1 species
CACGUAGGGGACGAGCGUUGUCCGGAAUCAUUGGGCGUAAAGCGCGCGUAGGCGGCCCGGAAAGUCGGGUGUGAAAUCCCGGGGCUCAACCCCGGGCCUGCAUCCGAUACUCCCGGGCUGGAGGCAGGUAGGGGAGAUCGGAAUUCCUGGUGUAGCGGUGAAAUGCGCAGAUAUCAGGAGGAACACCGGUGGCGAAGGCGGAUCUCUGGGCCUUGCCUGACGCUGAGGCGCGAAAGCUAGGGGAGCGAACAGG